rnacentral:rRNA from 1 species
UCCGUAGGUGAACCUGCGGAAGGAUCAUUACCGAGUUAGGGUGCUUCUCGCGCCCGACCUCCAACCCUUUGUCUACCUGACCAGAUGUUGCUUCGGCAGGCCCGCCGCCCCGCAAGGGGUAGCCGCCGGGGGUCCUUACCGGCCCCGGGCCCGUGCCUGUCGAUGGCCCUUCUAUAAACUCUUGCUUAAAACGUGUCGUCUGAGUAAAACAAACAAAAUAAAAACAAAACUUUCAACAACGGAUCUCUUGGUUCUGGCAUCGAUGAAGAACGCAGCGAAAUGCGAUAAGUAAUGCGAAUUGCAGAAUCCGUGAGUCAUCGAAUCUUUGAACGCACAUUGCGCCCUCUGGUAUUCCGGAGGGCAUGCCUGUUCGAGCGUCAUUAUCACCCCUCAAGCCCGGCUUGUUGUUGGACGUCGGCGGCGGCCUAUAGCGCCUCGCCCGUCUCAAAGAUAAUGACGGCGUCUGUGAGGACUCCUGUACACUGAGCUUUCGGGCACGUACUAGGCUAGCACUCCAGACCCGGUCUUAGUCGCUUUAUUGCGACAACUUUACCAAGGUUGACCUCGGAUCAGGUAGGAAUACCCGCUGAACUUAAGCAUAUCAAUAAGCGGAGGA